ensembl:lncRNA
CAAAGGUCAUGGUAACAUUGGGCAUCACGCGCCCUGUAGCAUUGUAGCCGUGCACCACGUGUCUGUGCAUGUACACGGCCAAGUGAGUGCUCACCAUGGCAGCCUGGCUGUGGCCUGCCCGGGGAACUUGCCGGGGGAUGGCUCUGAGCUUUGAGCAUCUGAUGUGGAAAGUGGGACCUCGUGAGUGCCUCACCGAGCCAGGCGGGCAGCAGGGCUUGCAGCAGAUGGCCUCUGUGCCCGGGCAGCCCUGCCUAAGUUGCGUUUCCUCCAGAGACCCGGGGAGCCCCGUGGGCUCAUAUGUCUACUGCCCAGGCAGCCCCUGCCCUUUCCCAGAGCCCUGUCACCCCGUCUGCCGCAGACGAAAUACUUGGGGAGCAGAGUGGUUACUGUAGGGACCGGUCUGACACCAGCUGGAGUUGGUCAGGGUUGGCAAGAUAGGAGGUGACCACUGUGUCCUAAGGGCUAGGUGGACUUUCACCCGGUGGCUGGUGGGAGGUACAUUUAGAGGCCACGGGCUGAGUCAUUGUCUGGUGCUAGGAGUAGGGAGGCACCCAGAGGAGAGGGUUCUGGGGGAUGGGCAAGGGAGUAACCUCAGGUCCCGUGCGUGGUACAUCUUCCACUUGCCCUCCAGCGUCUCUCUGUCCUCCACCCUCUGUGGCUCUGGCUGAGGGGAUCCACUCCCACCUCAGAGGUGACCCUCUCCCCCCAUCUCUCCUCAUGAAAGACCCCGUCACCUCAGAGGGGACCAGGAGCUGGGGCUGUGCUUCUCCUUUCCUAUUGACCUGCUCCUGGGGUGGCUGCCCACCGAGGGUCACCAUGCAGGGCCGCUACUGCCACAGCGCGAACAAACGUGGUCCCUGCAGGAAGGCCCCGUCUGGGUGAGUGUGCGUUAAUGCAUCCAGCUCAUUUCUGGUGUUUCUUGCAGGUUCUGUCAUUAGGGGAAGAGGCUGCUCGCAAGGAAGUGCAUUAAGAGUGGGCGAGCCGCGGAGUUUCCCAGCUCCUGGCUCCCCUCUCAUCACUGUGGGCUUUUUUACCAUAGCUCAGUCUAGUGCGGGAGACAGAACUUUUGGGAAGCCCUGGACCAGGAGAGGCUGGGUUGGCCUGCAAAGAUUGCUCCCAUCUGGACAGGAGAAUGAAGGUCAGACAGCAUCCACGUCUCACCGUGUUGCUCACAGAGACCCCGCCCUUGUUCGCCCUCCGCUGGGGGCUGCAGGGGCUGCGCCUCAGUUUCCUUGUUUGUCAGACCUUGAGGAUGCGACAAAGAGGAAAGGAUUAGCCCUGAGCUAACAUCUGCCACCAGUCCUCCUCUUUUUGCUGAAGAAGACUGGCCCUGAGCUAACAUCCAUGCCCAUCUUUCUCUAUUUUAUAUGUGGGAUGCCUACCACAGCAUGGCUUGACAAGCAGUGCAUGGGUCCACACCUGGGAUCUGAAACAGCAAACCUCGGGCUGCCGAAGCGGAACAUACGAACUUAACCACUGCACCACCAGGCCGGGCCCUAUUCUGAUUUCUUAUUCCAUGUCCCUGUAGUCCUGGACAGGUCCGUCCUUCUACAGUGGGUCUUUCUGGGGUUUCAUGGAAAGCCAAGGUUUUUCCCGGUGCCUCUAACUUGGCAGAACUUGAGUUCCAAAUUCUCUCUUCCCUGUGGCAUGCAGCACUGCACGCUCUGCUCAGCUGUACUUCUGGCUCUUGUCCUUGGCCCUUUGGACUGUCAGCCACUCCUGUGCGAUUUAGGAGUCAGCCAAGGAUUUCAGAGGAGUUUAUAUGCAGAUUUUGGAGUGCCCCCUCUGUGUGUCCCUCCUCUCCAGGAUUUUCCCUUCAAUUUCCGGUUGUUUUGGCAGCACUGAGCUCUGUCCACCACUCCUCAGGUGAUGAGCCAGCAGCUUUCUGGUUGACCUCCGUCCUCCGUGCCCUGUGCAGUCAGCAGUAUCCUCUAGGGAGAGCCGUACCAAUACAGAUCGUACCUGUGUGCCCGCUUCUCUCAGGGCCACACUCCCCUCCGGGUCGUACCUGUGUUUGAUCACUCUCCAGUGCCUUCAGCCUUUCUUCUUUUCAUCCAG